UACGGAGGGUGCAAGCGUUAUCCGGAUUCACUGGGUUUAAAGGGUGCGUAGGCGGGCCGGUAAGUCAGUGGUGAAAUCUCCGAGCUUAACUCGGAAACUGCCGUUGAUACUAUUUGUCUUGAAUAUUGUGGAGGUAAGCGGAAUAUGUCAUGUAGCGGUGAAAUGCUUAGAUAUGACAUAGAACACCAAUUGCGAAGGCAGCUUACUACACAACGAUUGACGCUGAGGCACGAAAGCGUGGGGAUCAAACAGG
rnacentral:rRNA from 1 species